UGGCAUGGAUGGUUUGUGUAGCCUUAUUCCCAUUGACAUCCCAAACACAUAAGAUUCCAUCGAAAAAUGAACUGCCAUGCUGACUUGUCUCACAGGGAUUCCAUUUAACUGAGCUCACACGAGCGCAAUUUAUCGACUAGUCUGCAGUUUUCUUCAUCGAUGUUCCACAACCUAACAGUUUUGUCUCACGACGCUGUGAUGAAAGUGUCAUCUGUGAGGUUGAAAUCAACGGAGGUGAUGCGGGAUAUAUGUGCGUUGAAGCAUUUGGUUGGGUUAGAAUUAUUCACAUUCCAGAGGAAAGCAGUCCCAUCUUCAGCUGCUAAUAUCAAAGAAUCAUGCAGUUUGGAUGAGCACCAGGAAAGGUCAUUGAUAUCCCCGAUGAUAGCUGAUGAUGUUGCAAGCUGGCCAGUUGAUUGGAAGUCGUUUGUGUUGAUACCAGAAGCAUCUGAAAUUUCUUCUUUGAUAGAUCUUGUGAUAUUAAUCUGAAUUAGCAAACA